GUUUUGAGCGGAUGGGUUCCCUGUAGCUUUGCUAGAGCCAGGUAAUCCUCCCUUCUCCUUUCCAUCAUGCCCAUCUCUUAGCUGCUCGCAUUUUCUUCACCUCUGGGUAAAGGGACAGCAGCCUUGAGCUUAUGGAAGAGAUGUACUGCCCUGCCUGGAGAACCCUACCGCACCACAGCUUUUUGGGGGAACUUAGAGAUCGUUUUCUUCUAGCCAUGAACAGCUUACAGACCUUUAUCUGUAAACAAUUAGAUAACAGUAUCCUGACCCUCCUAAGUAACCCAGCCCCAGGAGUCUUUGCUCUGCAUGCUGUGGCUGUGUUCCCCAGAGGAAGGCUGUAGCCUCGAUUAUGGCAGUGACCUGAAAUGCUGGCAGAGAUAGCAUUCCACCUCUUUGCCUUCCCAAGGUCAGAGUUAAAGACUCUUGUACCAAGUAGUCAAAAGCUUCCCCGGAUAAAUUUGAGUCUCCUGAGACCAGUUUUCAGUAUUGGCAUCAUUACAGAAAUAGAGGAUCAUGAAAUAGAAAGUUGUUAAAGUUGGGAUAUAUGCCUACAUGAAUGCUGGGGAGAGCGACACUGUGCUGGCCCCGAGCUGAUGAUUGUUGAGCUGGGGUGAAGCUGGAAUGUUGAUCUGUUGCUAAGUGAUGGGACCUGGGAGAGUAAGGCUGCUGGGUCCUUGCUGACACACCAGCAUGAGCACAACCUGCACAGUCCUCCCAAAGGGUGAUGGGUGCAAGCAAGCUUGGGAAGUUUUGCAGUGGACUUAAUUUUAAAGCCAAGGUGGAAGAACUGCCUGUUUCACAAUUUCCAAGUGCCGAAGAUUGUUUAGGACUUUGGCCCUUUUCUAUCAAGACACUUGCCUCUGAGCUGUUGAUGAAGUGCUGAUGACAUAGUGCAAGACCUCUCCUGAUACCACCCAGAAGCCAAGGAAGACACUGCAUAAAAUAAAUGAAGUGUAAUCUUAAGAUGCAAACAUUUUGCUCUUCUCAUAAUAUACCAGUCUCCCACCAGGAAUUCUGCUGAUUUCAAGUAACACCAAAUGCAGAACAUUAAUGAAUUUAAGCACAGAAUCCUAAUUUAAAUAGCACAGGUGGUGGUGUUUCCUUGUAACACUGUUUUGUGGAAAAAUUAAGAAACUGAUGCAUUAGAGCUCCACCUCUCCAUUGUGAAAGGUAAACAAAAUCAGUGCUGCAGGCAGUCUGUGUUUACAGAGACAAUGCUGGCAAGAAGCUGGGCAAAGAUCCCCUAGUGACUCCCAUUUGUAGUACAUAUCUUCCUCUGCUGGAAUAACUAAUGAAAUAUGUACAGUAUUUAAUGGUACUGAUGAUGAUAGCUGGUUCAUAUGUAGCAUUUUUUCAGAUGUAUGGACUCAGGACAGUAUAAUGCUUUUCAAAAAUCGUCCAGCAAAUCAAUACCAACCCUGGGAACAGAGAUUACCUGUGAUGUGCUUUAAGGGCUACAGAGGUGAUUUUGGAGAGGGAGGGUCAGCAGAGCAGGAAAAUAAGACUAUAGUUAUGAAGGCACUGAAGCACUCAGGUCUUCAGGACAGCUGGAGCCUUUUUGUGGCAUGCAGACAUGGAGAAAUGAUAUCCUUGUGCCAAACAAUUGUAAUGUCAGAGCAUGUAGUAAGGUGAAAAAGAGUAAAGUGAAACCUCAAACAGAAAUAUACUUCUUGAUUCCCACAUCUCAGUCUGUGAGAUGUAUGCAGGUGAAAGUUGUGUCUACAGAGCCCACAAGUUGUGUGACAUGAAGAAAGCCCCCCUGGGCAUGUCAGGCCUUGUGACAUGGACAGAGAGCUGGUGCAGGUACCUUUUGUGUCUUACAGCAGGGCCCCCAGCAGCAUCACCCCCACCUCCUGCACUGGGACCCUGCACCCCAGUUGUGGUGGCUGGCACAACAGGAAGGGGCUGAUAAGCUGCAGCCUGGGGAGGGGAUCAGCGGGAUGAAAAGGAGCCAGGGCUGUGCUGCAAAUGCGUGGGAUAAAGGUGCUGUGAAGAGGCAGCUUGAGAGGGAAUGGGAGAGUGCAAGUCUCGCACCUGCUUUGUUAAACUUGGCAGGUGUGUAGAAGCCAUUUGUCUUUAGUCAUUUAGCAGGUCAGUGGCAGAGCCAGAAAUAGAAUCCAGGUCUCCUGAUCUCCGGGGCCACCACCGUAUCUCCAAAACCAUAUUGCCUCUCCAAAGUUGUUUCAGAACUGUGCAGCUUGCUGUGGGAUUCCUACCCAGCCAGCUCUUUGACAUGGCCAGGCAGGUGCUCUUUCAUCAUUGCACUGCAUUCAAAAUCUGUGACAGCUUCACUUUUCACAAGAGUUAAAAAUGAGUUUUUCAUAUGUGAGGGUCUUUUAGUACUGUAGGAAGAGGCAGAACUGUGAUGCUGGAGAUAAAAUGAGUUAGCACUUCACACUGCAGCUUUCAAGGUGACCUUCACUUAAAAAAAACUUGAAUGUAAAUCAGGAAGUGUUACGUAUUUAUUUGUUUAUGAUUUAGAAAAUGCAGCUUAAAUACACGAUGCUUUAUGGAUACUUAAGAGAAGACCUCUAGGAAGCUUCUGCAUGCCUUCUGACUCACAUAUUAUGCUGCCUAAUGAUGCAAAAUCAUGCAGACCUAGCUAGUGUGGAAAUAAAGCCUGUGAGGAUUUGUAAAGCAAGAGCCUGAGCCAAAGUCCUCUGAAUUCGGUCUGCUGGGGUGUCAAUUAGGUCCUGAAUGUGUUUUUCCUCUCUUCACAUUGGCACUUGGUUCUGACUGCAGCUGUGACCAGCAUCUCACCAGGAGUCUCUAGUUCAGGCCACUUGAUGAACCAAUUCUUCUGCCCUGCUAGGAGGAUUUCUCUUUGACAUGGCGCUGUUUUCUAUGUAGUGCCUUUUCUUUUUAGGCUCAUGUACAUUCCCAAGGAAACGCAACUGCAGCAUUAGCGUUAGGUAUGGCAUGAACAGUCAUGGCUGUAACUUAAAGAGGCUCGUACUUUGCCAUGUCAACGCGAGUUCAACAAUGUAGAGUGGGCAGCAUGGUACAUGGAACACUACAGACAGAACAGUUUGGAAAAUGUUGGCUUUUCUUUCAACAGUGAAGGCUGUGCUCUUGCCUAGCAACCUUUCCACAUCAGCUGUGUGUUUCCCAUUGAAGCGAGGUAUCAGCUGCAGACGUGGUGAGGUGGCAGAGACAGGGCACAGCCUGCAGGCUGCAGAGCUGCAGCCCUCCUGCUGUGCUGUCAUCACAACCAGAGCUGGUUGUUGUAGGGCAAAACCUGGGUCUUUUUUUUUUCUUUCUGAAACAAAAGUAAGCUUGGGGCUACAGUAAAAAUAAAUUUUAAAAAAUCCUGAAGUGCUAAGAGCAGCUGAAACAGCACUUCUGGGAUGGGAUAUUUGUGAUGGUGCUAUCAGGCCUAGCACACUCCCCUGAGAGAGAGCUCAUAUAUCAUUUGCUUUUGCUGUUUUGAAGCCUCUUUUUCACAUUUUAACAGAAUAUUUGUCUCGAUUUGGCAUUUAUUGACUGUUUAAUAUUUAAACACGCUUAAUAAAUCCUGAAAUGAAACCACUGUUGUAUGAACGUGGGCCGUCUAGCCUCAGCGAGGGAAAGCUUCAGCAAUAAAAAGCCAGCAGUCCCAAAGGCCGUGUCAGUGCAAAGAACAGCUUGCUCUGCCCCAGUACUCAUGGUGCAGGCUUGUCUGCAUGCUGCUGCAGUGGGGAAGGUCUCCUGUGGGAACGCCUCCCCUGGGAACUCUGCGCUGCUUUAAGUGAUGGGCUCAGGUGUGGCCUGCAGGCCUGGUCCCCUCGGCUUUGGGCCCCUCUCCCUCCCUAGAGGGUUCCCCCUGUUUCAGGGGAACCUGUAUUGUUGAGCUGUGGUUGAAGGUGAUGGUGAUACGGCCUCUGGCACAGUAGUUUAUAUCACCUCACUGUUAAUCUCCUCACAGAUUUUGUUUUUUGACUUGACACUCUCAGUAGAUCCUUCAGACUGUCUCCAAAGCUGUUAUUUAUCCCUCCCUGGCAGGAGCUGGCUCUCUGCUUUGGCUCCAUUUCAUUGAAGGCAAAUUCCUUGAACCAUAAUGUCACUGCUGGUGUCACUGCAGGUCCAGCAGGUGCAGUGCUUUGAGCAUCUGAAGCUCUGCCUUACCAGGCAAACUAGGACUGUCCAUGUAUUUUUUUUUUUAUUUUUUCUUUUCGGUAAAGAGCUUGCUAGAUCUAAACCCCAUGAGAAGAUGUAGAUCUAGAACCCCUAGAUCUAAUCCAACUCCACUGCAAUGAACAGGGACACCCACAGCU